rnacentral:pre_miRNA from 1 species
GGGGGCAGUGCUGGAUCUUGGGCUGUGUCCUUUGCACCCUGUGCUCCCGGACGUGCGCUGUUGGAAUUGCGCUCCCGGCCGCGCAGCCCCCU